rnacentral:rRNA from 1 species
UUCCAGACUCCUACGGGAGGCAGCAGUGAGGAAUAUUGGUCAAUGGGCGGAAGCCUGAACCAGCCAAGUCGCGUGAGGUAAGAAGGCCCUGCGGGUCGCAGACCUCUUUGGACGGGGAGCAAGGCCGCCGACGUGUCGGCGGAAGGAGAGUACCCGUAGAACAAGCAUCGGCUAACUCCGUGCCAGCAGCCGCGGUAAUACGUAGGGGGCGAGCGUUAUCCGGAUUUACUGGGUGUAAAGGGAGCGUAGACGGCGUCGCAAGUCUGAAGUGAAAGCCCGUGGCUCAACCGCGGAACCGCUUUGGAAACUGCGAGGCUGGAGUGCUGGAGAGGUAAGCGGAAUUCCUGGUGUAGCGGUGAAAUGCGUAGAUAUCAGGAGGAACACCGGUGGCGAAGGCGGCUUACUGGACAGUGACUGACGUUGAGGCUCGAAAGCGUGGGGAGCGAACAGGAUUAGAUACCCCAGUA